UGAGGAAUAUUGCGCAAUGGGCGAAAGCCUGACGCAGCGACGCCGCGUGGAGGAUGAAGGUCUUCGGAUUGUAAACUCCUGUCGAGCGGGACGAAGGCGGUGAGCGUUAACAGCGCUCGCCGUUGACGGUACCGCUGGAGGAAGCCCCGGCUAACUCCGUGCCAGCAGCCGCGGUAAUACGGAGGGGGCCAGCGUUGUUCGGAAUCAUUGGGCGUAAAGGGCGCGUAGGCGGCCGAUCAAGUCCGACGUGAAAUUCCCCGGCUCAACCGGGGGCCUGCGUCGGAUACUGCUCGGCUCGAGUCCCGGAGAGGGUAGUGGAAUUCCCAGUGUAGCGGUGAAAUGCGUAGAUACUGGGAGGAACACCGGUGGCGAAGGCGGCUACCUGGACGGGUACUGACGCUGAGGCGCGAGAGCUAGGGGAGCAAACAGG
rnacentral:rRNA from 1 species